rnacentral:rRNA from 1 species
GUCUUGUAUUGGAAUGAUGGUGACGUAAAAGCUCGCCAGAGUACCAAUUGGAGGGCAAGUCUGGUGCCAGCAGCCGCGGUAAUUCCAGCUCCAAUAGCGUAUAUUAAACUUGUUGCAGUUAAAAAGCUCGUAGUUGAACUUCAGCCGUGUUGCUGUGCGAUUUUGAUCGCGUGUGCGGUGCGGCUUAUCUUUUUACUUUGAGAAAAUUAGAGUGUUUCAAGCAGACUUUUGUCUUGAAUACUUCAGCAUGGAAUAAUAGAGUAGGACCUGUGUUCUAUUUUGUUGGUUUGUGAGCGUGGGUAAUGGUUAAUAGGAACGGUUGGGGGCAUUCGUAUUUAACUGUCAGAGGUGAAAUUCUUAGAUUUGUUAAA